CCUACGGGAGGCAGCAGUGAGGAAUAUUGGUCAAUGGGCUUACGCCUGAACCAGCCAAGUCGCGUGAGGGAAGACUGCCCUAUGGGUUGUAAACCUCUUUUGUCAGGGAGCAAGUGGCGCUACGUGUAGCGUUAUCGAGAGUACCUGAAGAAAAAGCAGCGGUCAACUCCGUGCCAGCAGCCGCGGGAAGACUGAGGAUGCGAGCGUGAGCCGGAUUUAUUGGGUUUAAAGGGGGCGUAGGCGGAAUGCCAAGUCAGCGGUAAAGUCUCGGGGCUCAACCUCGCUCCGCCGUUGAAACUGGCGUUCUUGAGUGGGCGAGAAGUAUGCGGAAUGCGUGGUGUAGCGGUGAAAUGCAUAGAUAUCACGCAGAACUCCGAUUGCGAAGGCAGCAUACCGGCGCCCAACUGACGCUGAAGCACGAAAGCGUGGGUAUCGAACAGGAUUAGAUACCCGGGUAGUC
rnacentral:rRNA from 1 species